GACGAACGCUGGCGGCGUGCCUAAUACAUGCAAGUUGAGCGCUGAAGGUUGGUACUUGUACCAACUGGAUGAGCAGCGAACGGGUGAGUAACGCGUGGGGAAUCUGCCUUUGAGCGGGGGACAACAUUUGGAAACGAAUGCUAAUACCGCAUAAAAACUUUAAACACAAGUUUUAAGUUUGAAAGAUGCAAUUGCAUCACUCAAAGAUGAUCCCGCGUUGUAUUAGCUAGUUGGUGAGGUAAAGGCUCACCAAGGCGAUGAUACAUAGCCGACCUGGGAGGGUGAUCGGCCACAUUGGGACUGAGACACGGCCCAAACUCCUACGGGAGGCAGCAGUAGGGAGUCUUCGGCAAUGGACGAAAGUCUGACCGAGCAACGCCGCGUGAGUGAAGAAGGUUUUCGGAUCGUAAAACUCUGUUGGUAGAGAAGAACGUUGGUGAGAGUGGAAAGCUCAUCAAGUGACGGUAACUACCCAGAAAGGGACGGCUAACUACGUG
rnacentral:rRNA from 1 species